rnacentral:rRNA from 1 species
UACAGAGGUCCCAAGCGUUGUUCGGAUUCACUGGGCGUAAAGGGCGCGUAGGUGGUUGGGUAAGCGUGUGGUGAAAGCCCGGGGCUCAACCCCGGGCCGGCCAUGCGAACUGCCCGACUGGAGCACGGUAGAGGCCAAUGGAAUUCCGGGUGUAGCGGUGAAAUGCGCAGAUAUCAGGAGGAACACCGGUGGCGAAGGCGGAUUCUCUGGGCAGUUACCUGACGCUGAGGAGCGAAAGUGUGGGGAGCGAA